rnacentral:lncRNA from 1 species
AGUUAAUGUUUGUUUAGUCGUGGGUUUGUGGGUUUCAUGCGCAGUCAUGAAGUCUCUGUAAAGGCCUAUAUAAUGGCUUCUUCUGUUGCAAAUAAAGGUGUGAGUUUGCAAUAUUAAAAAUGCCAUCUUAUCCAUUUUCUUAUCUGCUCUAUUCUAUCAUAGAUAACUAAGAGAAAUUCACUACAGUGUAGAGGGCUUUUCGGCAGUGGCAGGGAUUCUCUUGAACCGUUGGUGGCGUGAACUUAGAGAGCUAGAAAGAGUAAAAUAUUCUUGCAAGUUACAACUCAACUGUGAUAGAAAGGUAUAGGUUUAAUUUUAUCACUAUGGCUAUAUUUCUUGAAUUAAUCUAGGAAGGAUAUCACUAAUUCUUUUUGUUAUAAUGACAAAGAUCGAGUUGGGAACAGUGUGGUCAUGGAAAACAUUGUAGUAUUUAUAAGGCCAUGGGAAUAUAAGUAGAAUUUUGUAAUGAAAAUCUUACUAUUUAAAAUAUGGAUAAGAACUAUUUGAGAUUGCCCUUUUGAAGUUAGAACACUUUGCACAUGGAAUUCGUUUUAGAGUUUUGUAUAUAUUGUUAGAUUAGUUACAUACUUGCAUUACAUAUAUUCAUGUAAUAAGGUUAGAAUUCCUCUAACUCACGUGUAGUUACAGGUGCAUUAAUGAGCGUAAAGUUUAGGAUGAUUAGAAACCUUUUAAGCCAGCCAAAUAAGCUUUGAAUAUGUGAAUGAUUAAGGGAUUAGUCGACUGAUUAGCAUACCAAUUGUUGGAUUUAGUAUAAGAAUUCAGAUUUGCCUUAUCGUAGUAUCGAGAUUGGAACUUGAUGAUAGAUUGGACUCUUCCACUUAUGGGUAGUUCGAUAAUAUCAUUUGUUCGGGGAUUUAACCAUAAUCGACGGGAGUCGACUUUUGAGUUAACUUUAUUUUGAAUAUUUCAAAAGAAUUAUGAGAUCAACCCGAUUAACAUAAUUGAUAUUGUUAAUCAAUAUUUUUGGUUAGAUUGAGGUUGUUGGAGGCCAUUUGAUUGGUGUUCUAGACAUUGCAAGGUUAGAAAACUUUUCGUUAAUGAGGUAAGUGAGACUUUAAGUUUUGAUACUUGCUUUUCAAAACCUGUCUUGAAAAUGUAUUUUAUCUGCGGUGUCCAUGUGUUGGGACAAGGGUGCGCUUGGCAGAAUCGGUGAUCUUUGACUAGCCGCAAAUAUAUUAUUUUAUGACAAAAAUAAUACUAAAAUUACUUUGUAAGUUGUUUGAUGGUGUGAUAUGGCUGUGAGCCAUGAUGCUGGGUUUGAUGGUUUGAUACGGUUGUGAGCCAUGAUGUUGGGGCAUUGUGUAUGCUUUUGUACAUCACUAGAGCAUUGUGUAUGUUUCUUGAUAUAAUUGAGGCAUUGUGUAUGCUUCUGUGUUCAUUUGUAUGCUCUUUACAUAUUUGAGGCAUUGUGGUGUCGUCGUGGACUUGUCGGGGUGUUAGUAAAUUUUUUACACUGUCAUUUAUGACAAGUCCUUAGUGUAAAUUGUGUUGAGAUAUAAAAUGCUACCUGUUAAAUACUGGUCUAAACUUUAUUGAGUAUUAUAUUGUGCAAUAAUUUCUGUGCAUAUUAUAUAUGUACUUUUUGUGUGUUUGUAUUUUCUAAUACUUGUUCCAGGGUAUUUAAAGUGGCGGGUCGAGAAUCCUACUGGGUUAUAUUCACGUAUAACUCACUCCUUACCUGCAUAUCCAUGUAGAUACUAUUCGUGGAGACAGAGCUAGUAGCUGACGAGUUCUCUAGAGUUGAUCCAAUUAUUGAGGUGAGUCAUUGCAUUAUUCGUGGAGGCUGCCAAAAAGUCUUUAUCAUUUAUUCAUAUGAUGUUUUUUAUAUUCCUCUUAGAUGCUCCAUGGUCUAGUGUGGGAUUUGGGAUAGAGUGUUAUUCCUUAAUUUUCAUUAUUAUUAUUCAUAAAUAUUUAUGGAAUAAUUUAGAUCGGUAAUUAUGCAUCAAAUUAUCAAAAUAUUGAAACUUGCGUUUAUUUUGAUUGACUUUUUAAAAAAAAUGCUAAUUGUAUGGUAUAAAUUGGUUUACCUGGCGGGUAGUGUUAGUUGAGUGUCAGUCACGACUAGAGGAUACUUUAGGACGUGACAUAAACACUUUUCAAAGCAAGCAGAUUUUGGAAGUUUGGUCAAAUAUGCUAUUAAAUUGGGGCAAAAUUGCGGUGUAUAUGGCAACGUAUCAUGCAAGUCCCCAUUAAAUCAACCCCAAGAUGAAUAAUUAACCUAAAUAAUCGCUCACCUUAUCUCUUUAACUAAAAGUAGUCGAUGGAUGUAUAACAUAUGGAUAAUUCAUAUAUAAUAUAUCUAAUAAUCGUGUAUAAUCGAUAUAAUCGACUAGAGAAAAUAAAUGGCAAAUCCGACGGGCUGUUUAUGUAAAGAUUCCAAUCAGGAUUAACUCAUGGGCUAGCAGCCCACUUUAUUGGGCUAGGUAGAAAAAAAAGUAAAAUUGUACUACGAGGGACACUAGUAAGGCCUUGAUACCAAGGGAGUCAUAUGCUGGUGAAAAUUCUUGACUCUAGUCUCUUGAAGGAAUUACAAAUAGGAUACCUUGGGACACUGCUUAAUAAAACAGAGAAAUGGGUUAUUAUUAUGUAAGAAGGCAAGUCUUUGUUUAUCAGAGCACAACAUGAACAUCAUCUCUCUUAAGAAAAACACAAUAAAACCCCAUAUAUAUUUUCAAGGGAAAACUUCAAUAAGAGACCUAAGGCCAAAGAUUGGUCUUAUAUUGUAACGAGUAAAGCCAGCUUCAAGGAAUAGCUUUCCCCAUUCUUCCUCAGUUCUUUCUUUUGCAGUAAAAACCAUUGCCAUCCACAUGUCAAACAUGAGCUUCACUUCAGUCAUGUCUGGCUCUUCUUCAUUUCUAUUCAAUAUCAUGUCAAUGAUAAGGACCUUCCCUUUUCUUCCCUCUUCAUUCUCUGCAACAGCUUCUCUGCAUUUCUUCAGUAGCUUGACACAAUCCUCAUCUCUCCAACUGUGCAAUACAUGCUGCAAAACAUAACAAUGUGACACUGUAUCGAAUUUUGAUUAAUUUGAGCAAUAUUCUGCCAACUUCAAAGAUGGUUAGUUAGAUCAAACAGACGUAAAAUUAGUUUAACAAUUAAUUUAAAUAAUAUAAAAAGGAUCUAGAAAGUUGAAUUCAUGUGAAAAAUUUGUGCUUCUGUAUAAUCUAUGCUAGUAUAGAAGGUUGUGCCUCAGAUAGUGUAUAGAAAAUGGAGAAACAAAUUCCAACCUAAGUAGAAGUUGCCCAAAUUAUAUUUGACAAUCUAUGUGGGGAUUUAAUUUUAGUGUACUUAACCUGCUUUUUUUUUCCGAGUUACCAAUCUCACUUUUAUGGACUGCUCUUUUAAGUGAUUUGAUAGUGUGCUAAAAUCAAACUCAUGUACAUAAAGGAUGUUAAGUAUAAAGUUCUUGUAUAUACCUUAAGCAAAAUGGCAUCAGCGUGAGGAAUAGAUUGAAACAUAUCCCCUCCAACAUAGCUUAAAUUCUCACUUUGUGGCAUGUUGGCAACAACAUGUUGAAGAUCAAGGACAGUGCACUUCAAGUGAGGAAAUGCCUCAAAAAUGGUCUUAGCUAUAAUCCCAAUGCCCCCUCCAACAUCAACCAAUGAGUUCAUCCCCUCAAAAACUUCCUUACAAUCCUUGACAACUAAUCUCAUCAUUUGGGAAUCACUAGCCAUUCCUUCAUUGAAAUCUUUGUCGAAUCUUGGAUUUUGUGCACAAAAUUCCCACAUAGGUACCCCAUGGGCUGUCUCAAAUGCUGUGGCUUCUUCAUUCUUAUUGUGAAACCAUUCAAGCAUUAGUUGCCAAGGAGUGACAACGAUAGGGUCAAUCAUUACUCUAACGCAAGGUGACAAGUUUGGGAAUUCACUCUUAAGAAGCAGCCUUGAAGGAGUUGUCAAAAUAUAUCCCUCUGUCUCUGAGUUUUCGUCGAUCUUUGCUGUAGCAAAGAAUCCAGAGUGCGCCAACAGGCGCAUUAGUCGAUAAAUGCCUAUUGAUUUUGAUGAGGGAAGUUUGAGUGCUGAAACUAGCUCAGGAAGAGUGAUUGGUUUUCUGUGGUUAUGUAUAAUAUCUGGUAUGCCUAGAUGAAUGGCACAAUUCAAGGCCAUGGAAUUUGCAUAACCAAAUGCAUGCUUGUAGAUAUGAGCCUGUGCUUUGAACAACUCAUUAAUAUUAUCUGUUUCCAUUAUUAGCUCAGGAAGUUCUCUAUAAUUGUUGCUGAAACUAGGCAAGUGUGAUACAUGAGCUAUCUUUAUGUUUAUGUAUUGAACUAGGCUUUUGAUGGCAUGCUCAGAAUUGUGACAACUCACUCUUUUCUUUGUCAUAUGGUUCACUGUUGGCUUGUGUGACAUUCAAAUGUCAGCUCUAAGCUUAUUCUCAUGUUUACCCUAGGACUUCAAUUUCCUGUCUUUUAGCAUUGAAACUUAACCGCCCUUUUGUUUGUUUUUAUAUAUCCAUCUCUGUAUUGCUUUCUGUUUUUCAUUUAAACUUCCUCAACUACUUAUUCCAAAUAUCAAAUACUACCCAUGUUAAGGCUUUUUUGGCUUUGAAGAGCUCUCUUUUUUUUUUUAUUGAAAAAAAGAAUAUUUUAAAAUCUUUAGCUUUCCUUUUUAAAAAUUGGUUAUUUACUAUUGAGUAGAAAAUAAUAAACAGCUAUACCAAGUACGUGCAGAGCUAGCUAGCUAUUGCAAAAUCAUAUCAUUUCAUUUACUUCAAUCCCAUUUAAAAUUUUCAGCCAUUUUUGGGAAAAGCUCAAACACGUUGUGCAAACUUAAACAAUCAUCUGAUUGUUUAUUUAAUACUGCAUGUAGGUUCAUCAUAAUUCUUACUUACAUAAUAUAUUUAAGGAAAAACUUCAAUAAGGGACCUUAGGCCAAAGACAGGGGUAAUCUUGAAGGUCAUGAAUCCAGCCUCAAGGAAUAUCUUUUCCCAUUCUUUCUCAGUUCUCUCUCUUCCAGGGAGAUAUACCAUCAUCAAUACAUCAAAAAUGAGCUUGAGUUGAGUCAUGUCUGCUUCUUCUUCAUCUCCAUUCAGCACUAUGUCAAUGAUAAUGACCUUCCCUUUUCUUCCUUCAUUUUUAUCCCUCAUAGCUUCUCUGCAUCUCUUUAGCAUCUUCACACAAUCCUCAUCAUUCCAAUCAUGCAUAACCAGCUGCAAAUUAAAUGUCAUAUUUUCUCAACCAUACGACCAUGUGGAACAUAACUUAGCAUUAUGUCAUAGGUGAUGAGCCACCCAAGAUUACUAUUUACGAACUUAGAGAUCAGAUGUAGUACAUGUCAAUUUGUAAACAAAAGAAACAAAAGUUAGCAUCUUCUUACCUUAAACAAAAAAGCACCAGCAGGGGGAAUGGACUGAAACAUGUCACCUCCCACAUAUUUCAAAUUUUCUGUAUCCGGCAUGUUAGCAACAACAUGAGGGAGGUCUAAAACUGUGCAUUUUAGAUGAGGAAAUGCAGCCAAAAUAGUCUUAGCAAUAACACCAGUGCCACCUCCGACAUCAACCAAGGAAUCCACCUCUUCAAAAACUAGUUUGCAGUCCUUCACUACCAAACUCAUCAUUUCGGAAUCACUAGCCAUAGCUUCAUUGAUAACUUUGUUGAAUCCUGGAUUUUGGUCACAAUAUUCCCACAAGGGUGUACCAUAUGCUGUUUCAAAUGGGGUGGCUUCAUUUCCAAGAAACCAAUCGCCUAAAGAAUGCCAUGGAUUAACCAUAAUAGGAUCAAGCAUUGCUCUGGCAAAAGGUGACAAAUUUGGGAUUUCACUCUUCAAAAGCAGCUUAGAAGAAGCUGUAAGAACGUACCCUUCUUGUGUUUCUGAGUUUUCAUCAAGCUUUUUAGUAGCAAAAAAACCAGAGUAUACCAACAGACGCAUCAGUCGAUGAAUUCCAUUUGAUUUUGCAGGAGGAAGUUUCAGCUCUGAAACUAACUCAGAGAGAGUCGUUGGCUGCUUAUGACUAUGAAUUAUAUCCGGUAUGCCUAACUGAAUUGCACAACGAAGA